GGCUCAGUGGCGGAACUGGCAGACGCAGCGGAUUCAAAAUCCGCCGAUCGCAAGAUCUUGUGGGUUCGAGUCCCACCUGGGCUA
rnacentral:tRNA from 1 species